AGGUGCGAUCAUACCAGCACUAAUGCACCGGAUCCCAUCAGAACUCCGCAGUUAAGCGUGCUUGGGCGAGAGUAGUACUAGGAUGGGUGACCUCCUGGGAAGUCCUUGUGUUGCACCUCU
rnacentral:rRNA from 1 species